AUCAAUUUUUUUCAUGUGAUUUUCCUUGUUUCUUCUCAUUUCCUUUCUUUUCUUAAUUCUUUCUUCUCCAAACUUCGUGGGCACUAAACCUAAAGCUUUUAACCCCCAAUUUCUAGCACAUCUAAACCCUAGGAGAAGAAGAAAGAAAAAGAGAGAAAGGAAGAAAAAGCUUGGUUUUGUAAUUCAAGCAAGCUAAGCUAUGGUGGCCAUGGGUGUGAGGGAAUUAUGAAUUUUUUUGGGUGAAAUCCAAGCUAAAACCAAGUGGAAGUGUAAAGGUAAAGUUAAAGUACUAUGGUGGUGUGCCGAGAGAAAUAACGAACGACCGGUAAGUAGGAAUAGCUAGCUAGAUACACCUCCGAACAAAUAGCGAUGUAAUGUCCCGCUAUCGUAAGUGGCAGUGAAAGCCCAUUGGAUUUUAUCUGGCCAGAAUUUCGUUGCAGCGAGAAUACCUUUUGCUGCGGUUUCCUGAGUUAAAGGUGAUUGGAUCCUAGGACGAGGUGCUCCUCCCUAUCCAUUGCUCGGUAGGUUUAACAUGGCACUACACAUUAGCAACCGUGCCCAAAGUCACUCUGCUGACGGUCAAGGUCUAAUUAUGUGUAUAUGAAUACUUGAUGUGAUAUAUUAAGAUUCAUUUGUUAAUCUAUGUAUGUAUA